rnacentral:rRNA from 1 species
UACGGAGGAGGCAAGCGUUAUCCGGAAUUAUUGGGCGUAAAGCGUCCGUAGGUGGCUAGUCAAGUCUGCGGUCAAAGACUGGGGCUUAACCCUGGACAGGCGGUGGAAACUACCAAGCUGGAGUACGGUAGGAGCAGGGGGAAUUUCCGGUGGAGCGGUGAAAUGCGUAGAGAUCGGAAAGAACACCAACGGCGAAAGCACUCUGCUGGGCCGACACUGACACUGAGAGACGAAAGCUAGGGGAGCGAAUGGG